CCGGGCUGUUCUGGGAAGGGCUUUGGCAGGAAUUCCCAGCAGAGAAGGAAGUUCUGUGUGCCUGUUCUUUUACAGCAUGUUUUUGCCAGCAGUAUCUGGGGAGGAGUGACCAGUGAAUGGAGAUGUGGUUGAGUUGCCAGAAUCAGAAAUCAGAGACAAGGAGAGUUUUAGGGAUGGACUGUCAGUGACCAGGCACCUACCUGUAGGCAUCAGAGAGGGUCACAAAGCCAAAUUCAGUGGUGCUGAAGAUGAUGAGAUCUUCAGCCAGCUUGCUAAGGUGGAUCAUCAGCAGGGUGGCAACAGAGAUUAAUUCCACUGCAGAAAAUGUAGAAAAGCAGGAGGUGAAAAGGGUGUUUGUGUUUGGCAAACCAGGGAGCCCUGACUGGAGCUUAGACAUGUGCAAAGAUUUUCUGUUUGGUAUUUCCCAGUGUGGGAUUUCAGGUCCCUUGUUAAAUGAUGUAAACUGGGAAGGUGUCCGUGUCCGGUGUCUGCUUCUAACAUGGGGGAGGGAAGAAUGACAGAGUUGUGCUUACCCACAAAGUCUCUCUCACUGAUGGCGUCUAUGCUGUUCAGGGUGAUGGAAGUCAUGUCCAGUUCUGUAAGGAAAGUGACAGAGAGAAGAGGUCAGGUUUAUCAUGACCAGGGCUUGAAGUCAGCAGACUGCUCCAGCCUACAGGUGACUGAGUCCUGGAGUAGUCCCAGCUGCACACACGAGCUGAAGUGUUAUGCUGCAUGGGAGCUACCACCUCUUGGACAUAGCCUGUCUUAUUGCAUUAAAAAAAACAUAUGAAUCCUUGACACUUGGUCCAGGAUUACAGUGCAUGAUGAUGCCUUGGGAAGUCACUUGCUUUUUCUUCCCUCCCUCCCAGAUACGUCAAAUGUAUCCCAUGCUACUCAGGAGUAGACAUUUACCGCUACGCAGAAGCUCUCUAUCAAUUUCCAGUGGGUUGCCAGCCAGAGCACCACUGCCAGGGAAGAAAGAAAGAGAAGUCACAUAUAUUAUCUUGCAAACUCCAUUCAAAAUUGAUCUUUAUUAAGCAGAGAAGGCGCUCAGAAUCACGGGUCAGUGCAACAGCAUGGCUAGGAAGGGACAUGAGAGAGAAAGCAGGUGAAGCUGAGAAACCUUGCAUGAGCCAAGAGGUAAUUCUGGCCAAAGAUGGUGCAUGCUGAGAGUCAGCCUCCACAGUGCUCUCAGCGUUUGCGUUUCUGGCUGGUCAGAACCAAGAGGCACUGGACAUGGAGCAUUCCUGUGGCAGCUUCCAGGGUUAGUUCUGCCUUGUCUCCCCCAGCUGCCCCACCAGAGAAUGAUGCACUUCUAGGCUCCAUCUGAGCAGGACUCUAAGGAUGGAGAAUGGUUCCCUUCCUAGAGCCCAGUGUGAAAGGUGGUUACCUGAGCAGGAACUGGCUCCAUCUGAUGGGCAGAGCUUUCUGCAGGUGGGUGUAGCCAGGCAUGAUAAUAUCAAUUUCUCUGCAUGAGAAAGGAGAGAAAGACAGCUGUCAGUACAGAGAGCAGUGACAGGUACACUCUCGGGUUUUCUGGCAAGGUCAUGAGGAGAAUAUCUUUAGCCUGUGUUGUGCUGCACUUGGUCUUUGCCUUCCUCCCCUUAUGUCCCCAGGACACAAUGAGGAAAGAGGAAUGUCUCUCUGAUGUGGGCUGUGGAGAAAGAGCGGCUAUUCCCUGUGCUAUCACACAGUGCCUGACUGUAACAUCCUCUGCAGAAGACCUUGCUGUUGCCGUGAUUGUUAUCAGUCAAAGAGCAAGUCUAGAAGUCUCCUGUCCCAAGAAGGCUGAGACCAUAGACAUGGGAAAGGACUUACAUAGCAGCGCGCUCCACCAGG
rnacentral:lncRNA from 1 species